rnacentral:lncRNA from 13 species
AUGGAUAAUCCUCAUCCUUCACUUUAUCUACUUUGUUUGUUUUUAAUGGAUAAUCCUCAUCCUUCACUUUAUCUACUAGCUGUGCAGUAUCUGCAAAUUCAGAGUAGCAAUCAAAGAAAAUUGCCAGUUUUCCUUGUGAAUAUAAAGUAUGCCUCCUGUCCUUUGCUGCGGCAUUCCUGGGAUUUCAGGGUCCUGUUUCCUCUCUCACUUGGAUAUCUGAUCUGGCUACGUUGCUGGAAUUUGAAGCAUGAAAGCACAAUUGCAAAUAUUUCACUGUUCACUUAUGACUUCAGAAGAUAAUGUGACAGCUGGAGUUUUCAUGCAGAAAUUUUCAGGAGAACAAGAUUUUCAGUGGCAAUUCCUUGGUUGUCUCUGAGCAAGCUCAAGAUUGGCAUUUUCAAGGUAUUUGCACAGUACCUGUUAUUCACAGCCUGGCCUACGAUACCCAUCUGUAAAAGUUCUGUAAUACUUAAGGCAAAAACAUUGAAUCUUGUAACAUACAUCGGGGUUGUUUGAAUCUAUUAAAGAAAAAAUAUUUCCCUUAACUUAUACUGAAAUCUAUUUACCACCGAGUCUGGCUGUGUCUGCAAAACAGAGUAAAAUAGUGGGGGGGUGGGGUUGACAUUCCUAGAAUCUUCUCUUGCAUUUGCUUCCUGCAUCCUUCAUGUUUAAGAGCAGUUUUAGUCAAAUGUCCUCAGCUCUGGCAAGUGUACAUGUCCUCAUAGCAGUCAAAUAACAGUGAGAGACAAGAAAUGGUACUCAGUUUGGCAUGAAAAGUAUAUCUUUCUGUAGUUCCAGUUUAGGUGUAAUUUUCUGUCAGUUUGAUUUUGCUUAUGAUUACCCUCAACUGAUAUUUUUUGAAACUAAAUAGGACUUGGAGAAUGAAGGCAAGUAGAUUAACAAGAAAUGGAGAAAUAAAUUGUUGGUUUUUUCUGAAAGUGUCUUGAAAAUAGGCUUAAUCAGUUAAACACUGCCAAGAAAAGUGUUUUAAAUACUAGAAUUGCAAUUUACUUGAGUUUUUUGGUGGUGUAAUUUGUUGUUGGUUCUUUUUAUCUUGUUUUGGUUUGGUUUGGUUGGUUGGGUUGGUUUUUUGUUGCUGUUUUUGGUGGGUUUUUUUUGUGGUUUGUUUUUGUGUUUGGUUGUUUGUUUGUUUAAUAUUUUUUCUUCAGAGAGUAGAAAAGUUCCUAAGUUCUGUAUUGGAAAUCCACUGCAAUUGGACAAUAUGUUUAUGUGACUUUGAAGCUACAUCUCCAGAUGUAAAGUAUCUCCAUAAAAAAGAGAAGACUUACUCAGAAAAGGCACCGGCUGAAGUUCCUCCUUCUACAGCAGAGCAAACACUGACCCUAAUAAGUAAGGAACUGAAUCCCUGUUAUUAAUGUCAUUUUUGGGAGUUAUUUUUAUUCUCAUUCUCAUCUUAAAAGUGCAUUUUCCAAAAGACUUCAAAAAUAUAAUGAAUAUUCAUUGGAUCUGUGAAAGGUUGCCAUCCUCAGCUGCACCUCCCACAGUGCCAAAAGUGGGGGCUGAGGAAAAAGGGCAGAAAACAGAGAGGUGACUAUACAUUUCAGCCAUUUUUGUUCCUCUUCCUGCCCGCUGUUCUGUACAAGCUUUCCAUGGACAAUUGACAACUGCAAAUUCUGUCUUAAUAUUUAGCAGCUCCCAAAGGCAGUGUGGCCAUAUAAUUUUUCUAAACAGACAAUAAUUUUAUGCCUGGGGAUCGUUUUUAGCCAAAUUCACCAGAUUGGGAAGGUGUGGAAAUCUACCACAGGGUAAGAAUUUUUUUCCUUCUGCCAUCUCUAUGACUGUUGGAAGAAUUUCUCCCCAGAUGGGUGUGCAUGGCCCACUGCAAUAACAUGUUAUUUCCCUUAGCUGUAAUUUUCAGUUUCCAGAUCCAGUAAGAAUUUUUGGUGCUGUUUUAGCUCUUGCCAGGUAAGAUACUGCUCUUGCCUCCCUUUGCUCUUCACCAAAUGUAGCUGCUUGAGGUUUAAUGUUCCCUUCUCUGAGAUGCUUUCUCAAGAACUUUUGUAAGUGUGAAAGCCGUAUGUUCCUUGUCACGCAGAAGACGAUUAACCAAGCCAAACUUUUUGCCAAGCGCCCUGGAGCCUGUAAGGUACUGUGUCUCUGGAGAUGCUUUCCUUUUUCAUCUUUCCGGUAUCUCCCUGCCUUUUGCAAGGAUCCGGCUGUAAAUUACAGCGGGUUUAACUAAGAGAAUGUAACACAGCUGGAAUUUCAACUACAGCUGCUCUAGGAAUAAAUCACAUCCUAGGAUUCCUUAUCAGCACAAUGCCAUGAAUGCUGUUACUGACACAGAACAAAUUGCUUUACCACUGCACCAGAGAAGUUAUGGGCAGGGAUGCGAACCUGAUAUGCCCUUGUACAGUCCAUGCUUGAAAUAUGUCAUGUGUGUAUGUAGAUUCAUGUGAAAGGGAGUGAAAAGACAACUCCCUAAGACAAUUUAAUACUAUUAGGUUUGGUUGACUCUGGUAUUCCUAAUGUUUUUUUUUAAUUAUAAAUUUGUGCAAAAGAGAAUGAAAUGAUCAGUCCACAGGAUUUAUUUUGUGGCCUUCAGAAUCAUUAAACAUAGAACGUGGUAGGGUUCUUACUCAGGAUUUUUUGUUAUUAGUGAGAAGACUGUGACAACUUUUUUUUUAACAGUGAUGAAUGGAUAGUAUUUUUUAUCAUCCAUUUUAGAAGAAAGUGGUUUGGGGUCACAAUGAACUGGACAACUAAAACUGGGAACAUUCCAGCUGAUUUCUUUAAGGAAAAGUUGAAUUUCUGUACAAGCAUAAACUCCAUAAGAAAUGUAUGUAGUAGUACAUAAAACACUUGAACAGGAGAUCCAAUGAAGACACUGAUAUUCUAUAUGAGCAAAGUAGCUUAGCAGCUUUUGAUGGCAGAAUUUGGCCCUUGUGCUUGCCCCUACGUGGUGAUCUCCUCAGGGCAGGAACAUAUCAGCUACUUUAAAACACAUCUCUGGUAUUGGUGUACCCAUAUUUUACAAAUUUUGAAGUGUUUUCAAUACAUUUUCCAGUGGUGAGUAAGAAGUUUCUGUUGUAUUACUUUCCUCCUCUUUUAAGCUUUAAUGGACAAAAAAUUCAUGCAUGGAGGUAAAUAGCAAAUCUUUGCAUGUGAAUAGAUUUCUGUGUUGGCAUGGAAAGCAGCUGUUUCUUCUGGAACUUAUAUAAAUCUCACAAGGACAGAAGAGCAGACAAUACUUCCCUGUUCAGCUGCUUUUCUGAAGCUCUGCCCUGUAAGUCAAAGACUGCUGGAGACCUCAGGAGCUUUGCAUUUCUCCAGGAACUUUGCAUUUCUCCAAGACCAGACUCAGAUCCAAACUCCAUGACUUGGACCUGUCAUUUCCAGUAGCGUCUGCCACUUCCAUGGAAGCAAAGUCCUAAGAUCUCAAAAAUAAUCCUACAUGCUAAAAAUUCUAAUGUUUCAGAAAGAAAACUGCAAUGAUUUUGUGUAACACCCACUAGCCAUUAUACCAGACUUGUGCUUAACCACAAAAGAGGUUUGGGAAGAGAGACAAUUGUUCAUGUAGGCUGAAGAAGUGUAAGGAUCCUCUUGCUGAGCAUGUCUAAGCAGUGAUAUGACCACACCAUGUGUUGAAGUGUACUUGUAGUGGCAGCUUCUGGCAACUCUAAGGUUGCGGCUUAGUCUCUGUGUUACCUGUGGAUUACUUUAAAUAGAUAAUUGUUUACACAGGUAAGUGUUCUAUAUUAGCAUACACAUGUCCCAAGUUGUCUUCUAUAAGUCUCUCAAACAUUAAUUUGUGAUUAUUCACUGUUGGCUUGUUCUUUCUUUCAGUACUUCAUUAAUAUAGGAUUAAAGUUCAAACUAAUGCUACCUGAUUAGUGUCUAGUUGGGAACACAGUUUGUGGUUUAUUUUAAUUCCCAUUGGAAUUAUCUUAACUUGUUUUUUUUUUUUUUUCUGUAUGCACAAAGCUGAUGAAUAAAUAUUGAGAGAAUAAAGAAAAAGUAUCGUUAAGUCUUAGAGAAUGUGGAAUUUUUUUUUCAGCUCUUAAAUGCUUGCCUGGGACAAAACUACUACUAAUAAAAUGCAAUGUGCUGAAAAUGAUUAAGGGAGCCUUUACUUGUUAUGUUUACUGGCUAUUUUGGGAGUUUUAGUAUCUGUCAGAAGAAACUCAGGAUUUGAAUUUUUUUACUCCCUGAAGACGCAGUAUGCUGAGUUACCCCAGAGGUCAUAACACUGUUUCUUUGUCACUCUCACCAAACACAUGCCUUUGCUUCUACCUCUGGAGAAAAUGGUGAAUAAGCAGUAUGUUCACAGCAGUGGAGGGAAGUCAUAUGUGUUCAGUCAC